CGUAACAAGGUCUCCGUUGGUGAACCAGCGGAGGGAUCAUUACCGAGUUUACAACUCCCAAACCCCUGUGAACAUACCACUUGUUGCCUCGGCGGAUCAGCCCGCUCCCGGUAAAACGGGACGGCCCGCCAGAGGACCCCUAAACUCUGUUUCUAUAUGUAACUUCUGAGUAAAACCAUAAAUAAAUCAAAACUUUCAACAACGGAUCUCUUGGUUCUGGCAUCGAUGAAGAACGCAGCAAAAUGCGAUAAGUAAUGUGAAUUGCAGAAUUCAGUGAAUCAUCGAAUCUUUGAACGCACAUUGCGCCCGCCAGUAUUCUGGCGGGCAUGCCUGUUCGAGCGUCAUUUCAACCCUCAAGCACAGCUUGGUGUUGGGACUCGCGUUAAUUCGCGUUCCUCAAAUUGAUUGGCGGUCACGUCGAGCUUCCAUAGCGUAGUAGUAAAACCCUCGUUACUGGUAAUCGUCGCGGCCACGCCGUUAAACCCCCAACUUCUGAAUGUUGACCUCGGAUCAGGUAGGAAUACCCGCUGAACUUAAGCAUAUCAAUAAGCGGAGGAAAAGAAACCAACAGGGAUUGCCCUAGUAACGGCGAGUGAAGCGGCAACAGCUCAAAUUUGAAAUCUGGCUCUCGGGCCCGAGUUGUAAUUUGUAGAGGAUACUUUUGAUGCGGUGCCUUCCGAGUUCCCUGGAACGGGACGCCAUAGAGGGUGAGAGCCCCGUCUGGUUGGAUGCCAAAUCUCUGUAAAGUUCCUUCAACGAGUCGAGUAGUUUGGGAAUGCUGCUCUAAAUGGGAGGUAUAUGUCUUCUAAAGCUAAAUACCGGCCAGAGACCGAUAGCGCACAAGUAGAGUGAUCGAAAGAUGAAAAGCACUUUGAAAAGAGAGUUAAAAAGUACGUGAAAUUGUUGAAAGGGAAGCGUUUAUGACCAGACUUGGGCUUGGUUAAUCAUCUGGGGUUCUCCCCAGUGCACUUUUCCAGUCCAGGCCAGCAUCAGUUUUCCCCGGGGGAUAAAGGCGGCGGGAAUGUGGCUCUCUUCGGGGAGUGUUAUAGCCCACCGUGUAAUACCCUGGGGGGGACUGAGGUUCGCGCAUCUGCAAGGAUGCUGGCGUAAUGGUCAUCAACGACCCGUCUUGAAACACGGACCAAGGAGUCGUCUUCGUAUGCGAGUGUUCGGGUGUCAAACCCCUACGCGUAAUGAAAGUGAACGCAGGUGAGAGCUUCGGCGCAUCAUCGACCGAUCCUGAUGUUCUCGGAUGGAUUUGAGUAAGAGCAUACGGGGCCGGACCCGAAAGAAGGUGAACUAUGCCUGUAUAGGGUGAAGCCAGAGGAAACUCUGGUGGAGGCUCGCAGCGGUUCUGACGUGCAAAUCGAUCGUCAAAUAUGGGCAUGGGGGCGAAAGACUAAUCGAACU
rnacentral:sRNA from 1 species